GACGAACGCUGGCGGCGUGCCUAAUACAUGCAAGUAGAACGCUGAAGGAGGAGCUUGCUUCUCUGGAUGAGUUGCGAACGGGUGAGUAACGCGUAGGUAACCUGCCUGGUAGCGGGGGAUAACUAUUGGAAACGAUAGCUAAUACCGCAUAAUAGUAGAUGUUGCAUCACAUUUGCUUAAAAGGUGCAAUUGCAUCACUACCAGAUGGACCUGCGUUGUAUUAGCUAGUUGGUGAGGUAACGGCUCACCAAGGCAACGAUACAUAGCCGACCUGAGAGGGUGAUCGGCCACACUGGGACUGAGACACGGCCCAGACUCCUACGGGAGGCAGCAGUAGGGAAUCUUCGGCAAUGGACGGAAGUCUGACCGAGCAACGCCGCGUGAGUGAAGAAGGUUUUCGGAUCGUAAAGCUCUGUUGUAAGAGAAGAACGAGUGUGAGAGUGGAAAGUUCACACUGUGACGGUAUCUUACCAGAAAGGGACGGCUAACUACGUG
rnacentral:rRNA from 1 species